GAUGAAGAACGUAGCGAAAUGCGAUAAGUAAUGUGAAUUGCAGAAUUCAGUGAAUCAUCGAAUCUUUGAACGCACAUUGCGCCCGCUAGUAUUCUGGCGGGCAUGCCUGUCCGAGCGUCAUUUCAACCCUCAAGCCCCCGGGCUUGGUGUUGGGGAUCGGCGAGCCUCCGCGCCCGCCGUCCCCUAAAUCUAGUGGCGGUCUCGCUGUAGCUUCCUCUGCGUAGUAGCACACCUCGCACUGGGAAACAUCGCGGCCACGCCGUUAAACCCCCAACUUCUGAACGUUUGACCUCGGAUCAGGUAGGAAUACCCGCUGAACUUAAGCAUAUCAAUAAGCGGAGGA
rnacentral:misc_RNA from 1 species